GACGAACGCUGGCGGCGUGCUUAACACAUGCAAGUCGAGCGGAAAGGCCCUUCGGGGUACUCGAGCGGCGAACGGGUGAGUAACACGUGAGUAAUCUGCCCCAUGCUUCGGGAUAGCCACUCGAAAGGGUGAUUAAUACCGGAUAUGACACUCCCCGGCAUCGGGUGGGUGUGGAAAGUUUUUCGGCGUGGGAUGUGCUCGCGGCCUAUCAGCUUGUUGGUGGGGUAAUGGCCUACCAAGGCUUCGACGGGUAGCCGGCCUGAGAGGGUGACCGGCCACACUGGGACUGAGACACGGCCCAGACUCCUACGGGAGGCAGCAGUGGGGAAUAUUGGACAAUGGGCGGAAGCCUGAUCCAGCAACGCCGCGUGAGGGAUGACGGCCUUCGGGUUGUAAACCUCUUUCAGCACAGACGAAGCGCAAGUGACGGUAUGUGCAGAAGAAGGACCGGCCAACUACGUGCCAGCCGCCGCCGUAACAC
rnacentral:rRNA from 1 species